rnacentral:rRNA from 1 species
CCUACGGGCGGCUGCAGUGGGGAAUAUUGGACAAUGGGGGGAACCCUGAUCCAGCCAUGCCGCGUGUGUGAAGAAGGCCCUCGGGUUGUAAAGCACUUUCAGUGAGGAAGAACGCCUGGUGGUUAAUACCCAUCAGGAAAGACAUCACUCACAGAAGAAGCACCGGCUAACUCCGUGCCAGCAGCCGCGGUAAUACGGAGGGUGCGAGCGUUAAUCGGAAUUACUGGGCGUAAAGCGCGCGUAGGUGGCUUGAUAAGCCGGUUGUGAAAGCCCCGGGCUCAACCUGGGAACGGCAUCCGGAACUGUCAAGCUAGAGUGCAGGAGAGGAAGGUAAAAUUCCCGGUGUAGCGGUGAAAUGCGUAGAGAUCGGGAGGAAUACCAGUGGCGAAGGCGGCCUUCUGGACUGACACUGACACUGAGGUGCGAAAGCGUGGGUAGCAAACAGGAUUAGAUACCCCAGUAGUC